GCGCCCGUGGUCCAAUGGAUAUGACGGAGGCCUCCGAAGCCUUAGAUCCAAGUUCGAUUCUUGGCGGGCGCACCA
rnacentral:tRNA from 1 species